CACAGGAAUGCCCUCCCUCUACCCCCCUCCCAGCCAACUUGGACAGCAGAUCCACAAUGAAGGCGGCAGCUCCAUGUAAUCUCCUAAUCAAUGCAGUACCCAAGGAAAGCACCGCCAGCCACUUCCGCCCAUUUAAAGACACAGCACAUGUUUUGUCCCAGAACGGGACAGAUCACCAAGGAUGACAGGAAUCAGUGUGCUGCAUGGAGGAGUGCGGUACCAGGAAGGAAGAGGCAAGAGGCAAACAACUCAGAAGAAGGAUAGAGUCACAGGUCCCCAACAAUAUUAACCAGCAUUUGACCAGCACAGAAGAAACACUCUCUAGGACCCUGAUCUAGGAUCUCUUUCAGGGAUAUAUCUGAUAGCCAAAAAGCCAUGACUGGUGGAAUUCCUCUCCAUGCACAGCCUCAUGCCAGAAAAAGGACAAAAUCACUUCCGGCUCCGCUCCCCCUUCACAAUCUGUUAAUCCAGAAUGCUCCUUCAGGCAACAACAGCAGGAUCCCCGAGCCAAAAACCAGACUCCAAUCAACUCUAGCUUCCAUCCUGCCCCCAGGAAAGAGAAAGCAGGACUGGGCUGCCAAGGACAGCAACAUGCCACUCCAGAAUGAUAAGUGGGGGCACAUACAUAGUGUCUUGUGAACCUCACCAUGACCCAGGAAAGAUUUUUAAAUAUUAAACAGUUACACAGGAAAGGGUUAAUAUUCAUUAAAGAAAGAAACCCGGAUUUGGUGAUGUCCAGUUCUGUGCACAACAUUACCAACUACCACUCCCUCCUGGGUGAGUGGCACAGCAGGCCCUCUGUGUACAGGACUCCACCAACCUUGGAUACAACAUUCUCAGAAAAAGCUGCAUGGUUACAGAACAUGCUCAGACUUCACUUUGUCAAACAAUGCAACAUAACAACCAUUUAUGCAGUGUUUACAUUGCAUUAGGCCCUAUAAGUAGCCUAGAUAUGAAUACAUGUUAUAUAUACAAGCAUGUCAUACUUUACACAAGAGACUUGGACACUGGUAGAUUGGAGAAGCAGAGUAGGUAACAUGGGACUAGGCUCUUGAGCAAGUUCAAGAAUAACUGUUGUGGAAGUUUAAAUGAGAAGGGCCCCUCUAGGCUCAUACAUUUGAAUAUUUGGCCCCCAGUUGGUCGGACUGUUUGGGAAGGAUUAGGGGGUGUGGCCUUGUUAGAAGAGGCGUGUCAUCAGGGUGGACUUUGAGCUCUUAAAAUCCUACACUAUUCCCAGUUAGCUCUCUUUCUCUGCCGUUCCUUUCUGCCUCGUUAUUUUCAGAUCAGGUAUAAAAGAUCUCAGUUGCUGCUCCAGUAUCCUACCUGCCUGUGGUCAUGCUUCCCCCUCCAUGAUGACCAUAGACUUUAACCCUUCAAGAAUGUAAGCAAGCUCCCAAUAAACUCUUUAU